UACGGGGGGGGCAAGCGUUGUUCGGAAUUACUGGGCGUAAAGGGCUCGUAGGCGGCCAACUAAGUCAGACGUGAAAUCCCCAGGCUCAACCUGGGAACUGCGUCUGAUACUGGAUGGCUUGAAUUCGGGAGAGGGAUGCAGAAUUCCAGGUGUAGCGGUGAAAUGCGUAGAUAUCUGGAGGAAUACCGGUGGCGAAGGCGGCAUCCUGGACCAUAACUGACGCUGAGGCGCGAAAGCUAGGGGAGCAAACGGG
rnacentral:rRNA from 1 species